rnacentral:rRNA from 1 species
GACGAACGCUGGCGGCGUGCUUAACACAUGCAAGUCGAACGCUGAACCCGCUUCGGUGGGGGAUGAGUGGCGAACGGGUGAGUAACACGUGGGCAGCCUGCCCCCGGCUCUGGGAUAACUCCAAGAAAUUGGGGCUAAUACCGGAUGUGACCGCUGGCCGCCUGGUCUGGUGGUGGAAAGGGUUUCCGGCUGGGGAUGGGCCCGCGGCCUAUCAGCUUGUUGGUGGGGUAGUGGCCUACCAAGGCGACGACGGGUAGCCGGCCUGAGAGGGUGACCGGCCACACUGGGACUGAGAUACGGCCCAGACUCCUACGGGAGGCAGCAGUGGGGAAUAUUGCGCAAUGGGCGGAAGCCUGACGCAGCGACGCCGCGUGGGGGAUGACGGCCUUCGGGUUGUAAACCUCUUUCAGCAGGGACGAAGCGCAAGUGACGGUACCUGCAGAAGAAGCACCGGCCAACUACGUG